CUCUACACAGAAAUCUACAUCUAUACAAAAUAUCCUCCCAUUCAUUCUUCACCGGCAUAAUUCCUGCUUGUAUUUCGAAACUCAGUCAUCUUAUGGGAAUGUAAGAUGUUGCAGCCUCAAUGGAAGGCAGUUAGGCCUGACCUUCUGGAGCUCCUUCUUCGUUCUUAUGUCUCACAUGAUUUCCCUGUCCUGUACUUAAUACUCUCAAGUGUGAGUCUUCGAGUCUUGGCAAAGGAAGAAGCCAAGAGAACCUUUACUGUAUGGAAGGUGAACGUUCUUGGCUGUGAUGGAAGUAACUCGGCACCUACAUGCGGCUCAUUCUUUCCACCUCAUACACUGAAAAGACUUCCCAGGAAGAGCUGCCAAGACAUCCAAGGUCCGUGUGGCCUCCGUGAGCAACACUCAAGACACUUUGUGGAAGGCAUUCUUGGCCUUCAUGUAGCACUCUCAAAAGAUAAGAUAUAUUCUAUCCCUCUUCCCACCCUCACACCCCCUAUCCUCCAUUGCCAGUUUUCUUUAUUGACCUAUUAAAUAGUCACCAUCUGUCUAAAAGUGUCUUGAAGAUGUCCUUUUUGCAUUUUAUGCCUUGCUACUCAAAGUGUGGUCUGUGGACCAAAAGCAGCAUCAGUGUCACUGGGAACUUGUAAGAAAUUCAGUUCUUGGGCCUCACACCAGGGCUACUCAACCAGAAUCCACGUUUUAAUAAAAUUCUCAAGUGAUUUGUAUGCA
rnacentral:lncRNA from 1 species